CACCACUAAUGUUGCUACUGAAAGUCCGACCUGCAUCAGAGUUAGCAUAACAUUAAACUGUGUGAACUUGCUAACCUGCAAAACUCGAGUAGGAAGCUGCUUAGAGAGAAUUGUCCUCCUGUAUUGUUUUCUACUGUUAACGUGAAUUAAACUGUGAGAAAUGUAGUGAACUCUGCUCGAAAAUAUAGAACCAGAAAAACAUGAGCAAGAAGCUGCUUAGAGAGAGAGGUCCCAGUCUGUGUUACACAGGAAAGUGUUGACAGUCAAACAAAACCACAUGCUGCUGCUUUUCUUCUUGUAAACGGCCUGGUUUAGAAGGAAAGAAGGCUAGAGCAUGUUGUGACUUUACACUUUUGAAACCAAAUACCUAUUAGUACAUUUAUUUAUUAAUUAAAAUGUAUUUAAUUACUAUCACCUGAACCAAUACACAUGAAAGUUAGUAGAAGUCAAUACAGAUUUAUUUUGCAUUGAUCAUUUAGCUUAUCAAUUAAUUAGGUUCAUAUUCGUGAGAAAUGUAGCCCUGACCCCCGUUCACCCAAUCUGUUUGGUCUUAUUAAUGUUCCGUCCCCAGCAAAAAGUUUACAUGCAGGUUAUGCUGUUAUAUCGUCCCUACCAAUGUUGAGACCAAACUUACGCCCUUGUCUACAGGUUAAGGUGGUAAUUUUCCGCUGCAUUAACAUCCAGUAAAAUUUUAGUAAGAACAUGAUGUCCAGUUUUAAGAAAUUAGCCCUGUUUGAAUCUACAGACUAGAAUCUGCUUUUUAACUGAUUCAGGUACCUUUGUGUAUUCAUUGCUGUGUUCACAUGUUUAUUUGACUUCCAGAUGAUGUCACUGAUAAAGUAUUGGAUGAUUAUUACAUUUGUGUCAGACUCUCUGCCAUGCAGCCACAGUAGAAGACAACUGGACCUCUAGUUUUAGGUUCUUGAAGAUGUUUCACCUCAUUGAUUGACUGUCCCACAUGUACAUUGUCCCCCUAAAUAGCACGACUAAUGGCUUAUUAACAAGUAAACACAUUAAUUCACCACUCGAGACAUGAGUCUUGGGUCAUUUCAAGGCCAUCAGUGAGUCAGGACAGAAGAAACAUUUUAAUGAACCAAAAUUAACUCUGAUCGCCGUCAGCUGAAUCACUGAGUGUCAUCAUGAUGUUUCUUUACACAUUAAGCCAAAUCCCACUCCACUAAGUUCUGUUUCUUCCUGACAAAGUUUUUUUCUUUUCAAUGUUUUAAGAGUCUGAAGAGGCCAGCAGCUCAACAGAAAUGUCCUUUUUUUCUUCUUUGACUGGUGUGAUGACUGUAAUCAUUGUAACUGGAGUUAUUCUGGGAUUUAUCCACGGGAGAAGUCGUGGUAACUGUUCAAGGUCAGAAGAUCCUGGAUCACCUGAACAUGAAACUCCUGGCUCUUCAGAUGAAAAUGAACCAGAUGAGCCUUACUCAAGCCUUCAACACCCCACAAAUGAUGUCUACCAGACUAUCACCUCAGUUCAACAUGACAGCAAGACUAAUUCAGCAAACAAUAUAACUGUGGACUUGGUCUGACUUGAUGGAUAUGAACAGUGAAUGUUAGAAUGUGAGUCCUGCCACACUUUUAAUGUGACUUUCUCCUCUUCUUCUUCUGCCUUUGAGUUACUGUUUACAAAAUCCCCUUUGCUUCAGAAAAUAGCAAAAAGAACAACCUCACAGCAGCAACUUACAGACUAAAAAUAUCUACAGUGGCAGUGAAUUAGUUAUUGAAUUACAACACUUGAUUCCCUUCAUGCAAAUGUUCCAGCAAAACAAGUUCCCUCGUCACUACUGUUGUGUUUAAACUAAAUUAAGAGUUACAGAAGUCACUGUAGAUGCAGGACUGUUGUGACUUACAUGAUCUUUCAAAGUGUACAGAAACUUUUUUUUCACAACUGUAUUUGUUUUAUUGAUGCCAAAGCAAUAUUUAAACG